CAGCAGCCGCGGGAAUACGUAGGGUGCGAGCGUUAAUCGGAAUUACUGGGCGUAAAGCGUGCGCAGGCGGUUCGUUAAGACAGAUGUGAAAUCCCCGGGCUUAACCUGGGAACUGCAUUUGUGACUGGCGAGCUAGAGUAUGGCAGAGGGGGGUAGAAUUCCACGUGUAGCAGUGGAAUGCGUAGAGAUGUGGAGGAAUACCGAUGGCGAAGGCAGCCCCCUUGGCCAAUACUGACGCUCAUGCACGAAAGCGUGGGGAGCAAACAGGAUUAGAUACCCCUGUAGUCCCUGUCUCUUAUAC
rnacentral:rRNA from 1 species